AGCUACCUCUGGUGUCAUGUCACGAAUGCCACCUAUGUAUAAAAUCUUUCAACUGCUCCAUGACAAAACUGCCUGUGACAGUUUGGGUACCAAUGGUGUUAUGGAAUGGAGUAGGGAAUGACAAGAUAACCCUCUUCAAUGGAUCUGCUCAAGGCAUAAAAUGAAAAUCUCUGGACAGAAGGCAAAAACAAUGGUUUUUGGAGGUGAAUACCCAGUAUGAACGAACAUAUUCCCAGAUAACAGUAUUAUUGAACAAAGGUCUCACUUCCAGUACCAUAGCUGUGACAGUUUAUGACACUGGUCAUGAUAUCAAUCACAAACUUAAUAUAUGGCUGGCCACAUAUGAAACAAUCUUAAGAACAUUAUUUAGGAAAGUGACAAAAUUUUACAAAUUGAUAGCUGUGCAUAUUUUGCCCUACAGCUCAGAGAUACUGGUGAUGUGUACUAAAUAUCUUAGUAAGAUACAGGGAUCAAAAAUGAGAUUCCUGAAAUCUAUGGAUUGCUGAAUAGGUUUAAAAAUGAUGAUAACUGGAGAGAAAUGAAUAAAAUAGAAGACCAAUGAAAAUAAAGAAAGCUGGCUCCAUACUUGAACUGAAUGCAAAGUGGAAGAAUGUAAAAAGAAAUUUUAUCAUACAGAGCACAUGGAAAAACUUAAAAGAAAGAAACAAAAAGAAGAAAAUACCCCCCCCCCCCACACA